GAUGAACGCUAGCGGCAGGCCUAAUACAUGCAAGUCGAGGGGUAUGGGUUGCUUGCAACCCAGAGACCGGCGCACGGGUGCGUAACGCGUAUGCAAUCUACCUUAAUCAGGGGGAUAGCCCGGAGAAAUCCGGAUUAACACCGCAUAACAUUGAGUUGUGGCAUCACAGUUCAAUCAAAUAUUUAUAGGAUUAAGAUGAGCAUGCGUGACAUUAGUUAGUUGGUGAGGUAACGGCUCACCAAGACCACGAUGUCUAGGGGAUCUGAGAGGAUGACCCCCCACACUGGUACUGAGACACGGACCAGACUCCUACGGGAGGCAGCAGUAAGGAAUAUUGGUCAAUGGGCGCAAGCCUGAACCAGCCAUGCCGCGUGCAGGAAGACGGCCCUAUGGGUUGUAAACUGCUUUUGUACCGGAAUAAACCUUCUCUUGCGAGAGAAGCUGAACGUACGGUAAGAAUAAGGAGCGGCUAACUCCGUG
rnacentral:rRNA from 1 species